rnacentral:miRNA from 1 species
CCGGCCUCCGUCUGCUUACU